GAUGAAGAACGUAGCGAAAUGCGAUAAGUAGUGUGAAUUGCAGAAUUCAGUGAAUCAUCGAAUCUUUGAACGCACAUUGCGCCCCUUGGUAUUCCAUGGGGCAUGCCUGUUCGAGCGUCAUUUGUACCUUCAAGCUCUGCUUGGUGUUGGGUGUUUGUCUCGCCUCUGCGUGUAGACUCGCCUCAAAACAAUUGGCAGCCGGCGUAUUGAUUUCGGAGCGCAGUACAUCUCGCGCUUUGCACUCAUAACGACGACGUCCAAAAGUACAUUUUUACACUCUUGACCUCGGAUCAGGUAGGGAUACCCGCUGAACUUAAGCAUAUCAUAAGCGGAGA
rnacentral:misc_RNA from 1 species